rnacentral:tRNA from 1 species
GUAGGGUGGCCGAGCAGGUGGCGAGCUGUAGUCUCGUUUACGGGGGGAAACCCCCUCCCCCCAG